rnacentral:rRNA from 1 species
ACGGGAGGCAGCAGUAGGGAAUAUUGCACAAUGGGGGGAACCCUGAUGCAGCAACGCCACGUGUGGGAAGACGCAUUUCGGUGUGUAAACCACUGUCGUGAGGGAAUAAGGCUACUUUCCGGAGUAUUUGAAUGUACCUUGAAAGGAAGCACCGGCAAACUUCGUGCCAGCAGCCGCGGUAAUACGAGGGGUGCAAGCGUUGUUCGGAAUCACUGGGCGUAAAGGGAGCGCAGGCGGAGAUGCAAGCGGACUGUACAAUACCGGGGCCCAACCCCGGACCUGCAGUCCGGACUGCACCUCUUGGAUAGUUCAGGGGCAAGCGGAAUUCCUGGUGUAGCGGUGGAAUGCGUAGAGAUCAGGAAGAACACCGAUGGCGAAGGCAGCUUGCUGGGGACUAAUCGACGCUCAUGCUCGAAAGUGCGGGUAGCAAACAGGAUUAGAUACCCUGGUA